UCUCCUUCAUCCCUCUCCAGAAGAGAAGAGGAAACACAAGAAGUGCCUGGUGCAGCACCCGAAUUCCUAUGUCAUGGUGUGAAAUGCCCGGGGUGCUAUAAGAUCACUGAUCUUCCAUCAUGCACAAACAGUAGCUUUGUGUCUUGGCUGCCCCGCUGUCCUCUCAGCCCACAAGGAGGAAAAGCGAGCCUUACAGAAUGAUGUUCCUUCAGGAGGAAGCAGCACUAAAGGCACCCUGACUCAAGAGGAGUGAGAAACCAUCCCAAUGGAUGCAUUUUGGAUGAAAACAAACAAAAACGUAAACAACUACAUUCAGCAAGUACACCAAAAUCUUAGAGAGGAAUGUUUUGAAGUCAACUGAUCUUUUAUUCAUCAAAUAUGAGAAGCCAGACACUCAGUGAUGCAAUCCCACAUGGGAAGGUUCCUAGGUCCAAAUCCCAGACAUCUCCUUGAGCAGACCAGGACCUGGAGGGAGCAAGUCCCCACAAGUGUACAGAUUGUAUUUCGUAUGAGAACACCUGAACAUCUCUCAGCUGAACAAACACUUUGGGCCUGAUUUUGGGCACACAUGUGACAGACAGCAUGUCUUUCAAUACGGGACUCAAAGCAUGUGGUCAGCCAGCCAGUGUCUUGCUAUGUUGUGUUCCUCCUUCA